UACAGCCACUGCUGAUAUGUGCUAAAUACUUACUGUGGGCUACAGACUUACACUGCUUGCUUGCUUGCUUGUUUGUUUUAAUCUUCCCAUUAGCAGAUAGGAAAACUGAGUCACAGAGGGAUUUACAUUACCUGUCCACAGCCACGGAGCACAGUGCAGCUGGCACGGACCACACCCAGAUGUUGCUCAUGCCUCCUGACUGAAUCCCAGUAUUCUUAGACCGGACCCAAGCUUCCCCUCCAGAAAAUCCUCUUCCUGACUAGGCGCACUGGCUGUGUGCUACCGGCUGUGCCCCUGCAACGUUUGCUUCCGUGCUGCCGACUCAUUGUGCAGGCUCUGUCCGUCUGUCUGUCCUUCCCACUGCCACUGAGCCUUGCUAGGCCGCCAAUCGCAGAGUCUGGUUUUGUAGUCUAGAGCCUGGGAGUCAGAGCUUGUUGUCUCCUCCCAACAUCCAGGAAAGAGCUACAGACCAAGGACAGGCAAGUGGGACAGUGGACAGAUACCUGUCAGAGCAGGGCUAAGGGUGGGAGAGUGGAACAGGAUCUGGCUUGGUCCUGGAGGAAACAGUGGGGUGCUAAGCCUGAACCUCUCCAGGAUGGCCAUGGGAACAGAACACGCCAGCCUGGGCACAUGAACCUAGAAGAAGAAGCCAGCCAGGCUCCUAGCAUGGCUGAGAAUUGGAUGACUGGGCGAUUAAAACUAUCUUCAACUGUCCCCAGAAGCUCCAGGCACCCAGUCCCUUGUACAGGCAGCAGUAAAAGCCACUGCCAUGGUGAUGAUUUGGAACUGGAUUUGAGGGCAGUAGGCAGUGGUGGCCAUCUUGCCCCAGUUCCGCACUCUGCAGACCUAGCUUCCUUGCUGCUGUGCCUCAUCUUUUCAAGCAUCCUGCUUGUUCUUCCUCUACCAGGGAACCCAGAGUUGCCUCCAAGCCCUCUAAUGCCAAAUGCAAACACCUGCCCAUAGAACCCCAGGCCCUCCAGCCUCUUCUGAGCACUGGUCUCCCAAGCUGCGUGUCCACUGCAGAAGCCCAGGUGACAGGUGACCGCCUCCCGUGGACACUUUCUCUCUGGGACACGUGCCAGUCUCUUCUGUUUCUCUGCUGUCCAGUGGAGCAGCAGAAGUCAUGGGCUUUGCAUCAGUUGCUUCCUAUGAAUCACUCAGCAUCUCUGUGCGUCUAGCCGCUUCCCCGUCAGGACUUGAAAGGCUGCCGUAAGAAAUAGAGUGUUUAUGUUCAGAGCAGCGCCAGUAGAUAUAACCAGACAGCAGGUGCUCUGUAGAUAAAAUCCUUUGCACUGCCUUGGUGUUCCUCAACUAGGUGCUUGUCAGUGACUAGCAGCUUUUCUGCUUCCUUCAGGGGCAUCUCCAGAUACACUUGUGCUUGCAGAUAGCCCUGCAUGCCUCACUAGGAAGGUGGGUCUGGGGAAGCAGUGCUGGGUGAUCACUCAUGGGGUAUCAGUCUCGGUGCAUGGAGAUUGCAGCUCAGUAUAGCUCGGGCUCAGUCCUUACGUAUGCCAUGUGUGUUAACAAGUGUCAGUCUCCUUGGUUACGACAUUCCCAGAGAGCUGCCCCCUUUACUCAAACAGGCUGGCUUGAUCUCCCUGCCCCUGGCUCUCUUCCCCACUGUUUAUCAGAAGUAGGAUUGCACUGCAUGCCACUCACGCUGGCCCAGUAAAAUGACCCUUUGAGAAAGGACCUUCCUUCCUUGCCAUCCCCACUCCCCUGCAUGCUGAGUUUGGGUUCCCAAGACCUCCUGGAGAACUGCAGCCCUGCCCCCACCUCAGUCCACGGUGCUACUGUCACAGAGCACCACAGACUGGGUAACGUACGAAGAUGAAAAGGCUAGUUCCCAUGGUUUUGGAUACUAGGAUGCCUUUUAUCAAGGCAUUGUCGAAACACCAAUAAGUUUAGCGUCUGGGAAGGCACCUGGUUGACACAUCCUCCAGAGGGAAGGAAACUAUGUCCUCAUGUCUAGAAGGCUCAAGAGCAAAGCAGUAGACUGGUACACAAAAACCCUUUUAAGUCAGGUGAAGGGACACGGGCCUGUAAUCCUGUCACUUGUGAGAUGGAGGAAGAAGGUCAGAAGUUCAAGGCUAACAGCACAUGAGAAUGUCUUUUUUUUUUUUUUAAGGAAUAAGUAAAUAAUAAAAUAAAAUAAAAUAAAAUAAAACAAAACGUUCCCAAUUCAUUCAUGAGAGGAUACUUCACAGCCUAAUCAUCUCUAAAUGGCCAUCUCCUAUCAUCUUGGGGACAUCGGCUUUUGAGGAGGGAAGACAUUUGAGCAAUGCCAGGCACCUUCAAGCUGAGUGUGGAGGUUCUUGCCUUUGAUUCCAGCACUCAAGGAGGCAGAAGCAAGGGGAUCUCUGUGAGUUCAAGGUCAGCCUGAUCUCCAUAGCAAAUUCCAGGCCAGCCAGAGCUACAGAGUGAGAUCCAUUCCAGG
rnacentral:lncRNA from 1 species